GAUGAACGCUGGCGGCGUGCCUAAUACAUGCAAGUCGAGCGAACGGACGAGAAGCUUGCUUCUCUGAUGUUAGCGGCGGACGGGUGAGUAACACGUGUAUAACCUACCUAUAAGACUGGGAUAACUUCGGGAAACCGUAGCUAAUACCGGAUAAUAUUUUGAACCGCAUGGUUCAAAAGUGAAAGACGGUCUUGCUGUCACUUAUAGAUGGAUCCGCGCUGCAUUAGCUAGUUGGUAAGGUAACGGCUUACCAAGGCAACGAUGCAUAGCCGACCUGAGAGGGUGAUCGGCCACACUGGAACUGAGCCACGGUCCAGACUCCUACGGGAGGCAGCAGUAGGGAAUCUUCCGCAAUGGGCGAAAGCCUGACGGAGCAACGCCGCGUGAGUUAUGAAGGUCUUCGGAUCGUAAAACUCUGUUAUUAGGGAAGAACAUAUGUGUAAGUAACUGUGCACAUCUUGACGGUACCUAAUCAGAAAGCCACGGCUAACUACGUG
rnacentral:rRNA from 1 species